rnacentral:rRNA from 1 species
AACGAACGCUGGCGGCGUGCCUAAGACAUGCAAGUCGUACGGAAAGGCCCCCUUCGGGGGGCACUCGAGUGGCGCACGGGUGAGUAACGCGUGGGUAAUCUGCCUUAGGGUCUAGGACAACCCCGGGAAACUGGGGCUAAUACUGGAUAAGACCACGAGCUCUUCGGAGCUUGCGGAAAAAGAUGGCCUCUCCUUGGAAGCUAUCGCCCUUCGAUGAGCCCGCGUCCCAUUAGCUAGUUGGUGAGGUGACGGCUCACCAAGGCUUUGAUGGGUAGCUGGUCUGAGAGGAUGAUCAGCCACACUGGAACUGAGACACGGUCCAGACUCCUACGGGAGGCAGCAGUCGGGAAUUUUGGGCAAUGGGCGAAAGCCUGACCCAGCAACGCCGCGUGAGGGAUGAAGGCCCUCGGGUCGUAAACCUCUGUCGGGAGGGAAGAACGGUUGCCGUUCGAACAGGACGGGAGCCUGACGGUACCUCCAAAGGAAGCACCGGCUAACUCCGUGCCAGCAGCCGCGGUAAUAC